rnacentral:rRNA from 1 species
CAGAGGGUGCAAGCGUUGUUCGGAAUUAUUGGGCGUAAAGCGCGUGUAGGCGGCUUGGCAAGUCAGAUGUGAAAGCCCUCGGCUUAACCGAGGAAGUGCGUCUGAACUGCUGAGCUUGAGUGUCGGAGAGGAUGGCGGAAUUCCGCAAGUAGAGGUGAAAUUCGUAGAUAUGCGGAGGAACACCGGUGGCGAAGGCGGCCAUCUGGACGACUACUGACGCUGAGACGCGAAAGCGUGGGGAGCAAACAGGAUUAGAUACCCUGGUAGUCCACGCUGUAAACGAUGAGAACUAGGUGUCGUGGGUGUUGACCCCCGCGGUGCCGCAGCUAACGCAUUAAGUUCUCCGCCUGGGAAGUACGGCCGCAAGGCUA